rnacentral:misc_RNA from 1 species
UUUCCGUAGGUGAACCUGCGGAAGGAUCAUUACCGAGUGUCGAGCCCUCCUGGGCCCACCCUCCCACCCGUGUCUCCCGUCCCUUGUUGCCUCCGCGGCCCCGCCCUCUGGGGGGGCCGGGGGGGCGUCGCGCCCCCGGGUUGGCGCCCGCCGGGGACCUCCACGCGAACACUGUGUGAAAGUUGCCGUCUAAGUUGAUUUACCCAAUCGUUAAAACUUUCAACAACGGAUCUCUUGGUUCCG